GUGACAUCCCAUAAUACCCCAAUACCCAGAGUGACACCCCAUAAUACCCCAAUACCCAGAGUGACAUCCCAUAAUACCCCAAUACCCAGAGUGACAUCCCAUAAUACCCCAAUACCCAGAGUGACAUCCCAUAAUACCCCCAAUACCCAGAGUGACAUCCCAUAAUACCCCCAAUACCCAGAGUGACAUCCCAUAAUACCCAGAGUGACAUCCCAUAAUACCCAGAGUGACAUCCCAUAAUACCCAGAGUGACAUCCCAUAAUACCCAGAGUGACAUCCCAUAAUACCCCCAAUACCCAGAGUGACAUCCCAUAAUC